UUGCAGUACGUGGUGGAUAGAAUGGCCGAUCGCCUUCCCACAUGGCAAGCAAGACUGCUCUUCCGGGCUGGGCGUCUGGAGCUAGUAAAGACCACGCUAGCGUCCAUGCCCAUACAUGCGAUGGUGGCACUGGACCUGCCAGUGAAAACCAUCGAAGCUGCAAAUAAGAUAUGUCGCGGUUUCUUGUGGAAGGGACGCCGAGACAUGCAUGGCAGUCAUUGUCUUGUGGCAUGGGAUCAGGUGUGCGCGCCAAAGGAAUAUGGUGGCCUCGGCAUUCCGAAUUUGCGCAUUCUCAACGCCGCACUCCGAGCAAGAUGGCCUUGGCUAAUGCGAACGGAGCGCGACCGGCCAUGGAAUGAGUUCAACAUU
rnacentral:rRNA from 1 species